ACUCUCGAGUGCAUUGCUCAGCCAAGUUCAGGCCAGGAGAAAGGCGUUGAGCCCAGGUGAAACUGAAAGCCAUGAGCCAAAGUGUGAAAGUAUCUGCAGCAAUUCGAAAUGAUAGCGCACACUAUUCAGUGGACUAGCUCAAAAGUUUGUGGCUUUUGCAUUUGCUUACGAAUCGAAGUGCGAACAACAAAGGAAAAACUGAUUGUUUGGGAUCGAUGCCGCAAUGAGGCGUAUGCGUAUUUUAUUACGGGCAAUUUGGCAUUCCAGCCACGCGCAUUUGGCUUUGUUUUCAGCGCAUAUUCAUAUUGUAAUUCAGGCAAUUGCGAGCCCAGCACAUCAGCAUUCUUGCAUUUUCCCAUUUCGUAUGCAAAUUUAGCUCACGAUAAUUUCAAACAAUAUACCCUGUACCCAUGCCCAAUGGGUAAGCUGAGUAUUAUAAAGUUGUGCAAAUAUACAGACAUAUAACUAGCA